AGGCUCUGUUUCUUCUCAGCAACGUUGUUUUGAAUGGCUCUGUUUCUUCUCAGCGGCGUUGUUUUCAAUGUCACUAUAACUGAUUAUCCACUUCAAGCCGUGGAGCUAUUGAGAGCAAAUAAAGGAAAUUACGACAUAGUGCUCAUUGAUGUUAAUUUGACAUGCAUGGAUGGAUUUGAGUUAGUAAAGAAUGUGAGUCGCGAAAUAAGUUUGCCUGUAAUUGGUAUGUUAAAGUUUUCUAAAAAAAAUAUUAAAUUAUUUUAUUUAUCAAUUAAUUUUUUUUAACAUGGUUAAAUUUUUAUGCAGUGUUGUCAA